GAUGAACGCUGGCGGCGUGCCUAAUACAUGCAAGUCGAGCGAACGGACGAGAAGCUUGCUUCUCUGAUGUUAGCGGCGGACGGGUGAGUAACACGUGGAUAACCUACCUAUAAGACUGGGAUAACUUCGGGAAACCGUAGCUAAUACCGGAUAAUAUUUUGAACCGCAUGGUUCAAAAGUGAAAGACGGUCUUGCUGUCACUUAUAGAUGGAUCCGCGCUGCAAUAGCUAGUUGGUAAGGUAACGGCUUACCAAGGCAACGAUGCAUAGCCGACCUGAGAGGGUGAUCGGCCACACUGGAACUGAGACACGGUCCAGACUCCUACGGGAGGCAGCAGUAGGGAAUCUUCCGCAAUGGGCGAAAGCCUGACGGAGCAACGCCGCGUGAGUGAUGAAGGUCUUCGGAUCGUAAAACUCUGUUAUUAGGGAAGAACAUAUGUGUAAGUAACUGUGCACAUCUUGACGGUACCUAAUCAGAAAGCCACGGCUAACUACGUG
rnacentral:rRNA from 1 species